AUUAGAUACCCUGGGUAGUCCACGCUGUAAACGAUGGAUACUAGGUGUGCGGGGACUGACCCCCUCCGUGCCGCAGCUAACGCAAUAAGUAUCCCACCUGGGGAGUACGAUCGCAAGGUUGAAACUCAAAGGAAUUGACGGGGGCCCGCACAAGCGGUGGAGUAUGUGGUUUAAUUCGACGCAACGCGAAGAACCUUACCAGGGCUUGACAUCCAACUAACGAAGCAGAGAUGCAUUAGGUGCCCUUCGGGGAAAGUUGAGACAGGUGGUGCAUGGUUGUCGUCAGCUCGUGUCGUGAGAUGUUGGGUUAAGUCCCGCAACGAGCGCAACCCUUAUUGUUAGUUGCUACGCAAGAGCACUCUAGCGAGACUGCCGUUGACAAAACGGAGGAAGGUGGGGACGACGUCAAAUCAUCAUGCCCCUUAUGUCCUGGGCCACACACGUACUACAAUGGCGGUCAACAGAGGGAGGCAAAGCCGCGAGGCAGAGCAAAUCCCUAAAAGCCGUCCCAGUUCGGAUUGCAGGCUGAAACCCGCCUGUAUGAAGUUGGAAUCCCUAGUAAUCGCGGAUCAGCAUGCCGCGGUGAAUACGUUCCCGGGCCUUGUACACACCGCCCGUCACACCAUGAGAGUCGGGGACACCCGAAGUCCGUAGUCUAACCGCAAGGGGGACGCGGCCGAAGGUGGGUUCGAUAAUUGGGGUGAAGUCGUAACAAGGUAC
rnacentral:rRNA from 1 species